UGAGGAAUAUUGGUCAAUGGCCGCAGGGCUGAACCAGCCAAGUCGCGUGAGGGAUGACGGUCCUAUGGAUUGUAAACCUCUUUUGUCAGGGAGCAAAGGGCGCCACGUGUGGCGUUUUGCGAGUACCUGAAGAAAAAGCAUCGGCUAACUCCGUG
rnacentral:rRNA from 1 species